UCCACAUGGCAUUGACACGUCUCAGGGCCUCUCCAUGUGUUUUCUCGAGCAAUGUGUUUGGUCUUCUGGAAUUAUGAUUCAUGGAUUCAAGAGACCACGGUAGAAGCUUCUAAUCCUCUUAAAAAGCAAGACUGAUCAUGGGAAACUGUCCUGUCCACUAGUACAUUAUUGCAAUCAGAGGAAGCUACUCUCUGAUUUGUAACCUACUUCUGUCUCCAGGACAACCAUAAGACCAAAGGACUCCUUGGACACCUAGUCAGGAGGGUGGUGAGUUGAACUGAGCAAGCUUGAGCAUCUCAAACUGAAGUGGACACUUGCGCUUUAUACAGGUUUUCUUCAAUAUACGGCUUAAAUGAAGAGGGAACCAGCAAAGAGCAAAAAUUACAACCAAGCAGAAAACUGUUUUUGCCACUUCUCGACGCUAAAGGAAAGUGAGAAAAAAAUAGGACAACAAAUUUAGUGUUUUUAUACUAGAUGCAAGAACUACAGUACCAAGAAGUAGCAGACACCAGAGAAAGAAUAAUUCAAAGAAGAGCCAGGAGAACAGCCUGGCUUACACUGCCUCUACCUCUUCAAGAUUCUAAGAUGAAAAGCUGAAGCUCAGAAAAAUCAGUAUAGUAGUUGAAGAGUUGCUGAUGAGGAACUAUGCUUGCACAUGGGUACCAUGACGAAGCCAAUCGCUUCAGGAAUGGCCAGGAUAAAGGACAGGAUCCAGAUGGAGACAAUUUCAAUGGCAGUUACCAAAGGAAUCCCAAUUCCCUGAACACGACUCCAGGAGGCAACUGCUCUGUACCUGAAAAAAAGGUUCCAGGUCUGGCCUCUGAAAGGAGCCUUGAGCCUGCUGGAGCAAAAACAGAGAGGACCCUGAGACUACAUGGAGGGGGAGAUGGGCUCUGCUGAGCUCAGACAUCCAGCUGUCCCUGCCAAGGUGCCAGGCAUGUGAGUGUUGGACCUCUGACACAAGCUCAGAGUCAGCUGA
rnacentral:lncRNA from 10 species